rnacentral:rRNA from 1 species
GACGAACGCUGGCGGCGCGCCUAACACAUGCAAGUCGAACGGAGCUGAGAGAAGCUUGCUUUUCUUAGCUUAGUGGCGAACGGGUGAGUAACGCGUGAGUAACCUGCCCUGGAGUGGGGGACAACAGUUGGAAACGACUGCUAAUACCGCAUAAGCCCACGAUCCGGCAUCGGAUUGAGGGUAAAGGAUUUAUUCGCUUCAGGAUGGACUCGCGUCCAAUUAGCUAGUUGGUGAGGUAACGGCCCACCAAGGCGACGAUUGGUAGCCGGACUGAGAGGUUGAACGGCCACAGUGGGACUGAGACACGGCCCAGACUCCUACGGGAGGCAGCAGUGGGGGAUAUUGCAAAAUGGGGGAAACCCUGAUGCAGCGACGCCGCGUGGAGGAAGAAGGUUUUCGGAUUGUAAACUCCUGUCGUGAGGGACGAUAAUGACGGUACCUAACAAGAAAGCACCGGCUAACUACGUG